UACAGAGGGGGCAAGCGUUGUUCGGAAUUACUGGGCGUAAAGGGCGCGUAGGCGGCCUUCUAAGUCGAACGUGAAAUCCCCGGGCUCAACCCGGGAACUGCGUCCGAUACUGGAAGGCUUGAAUCCGGGAGAGGGAUGUGGAAUUCCAGGUGUAGCGGUGAAAUGCGUAGAUAUCUGGAGGAACACCGGUGGCGAAGGCGGGUCUCUGGGCAGUAACUGACGCUGAGGAGCGAAAGCGUGGGGAGCGAACAGG
rnacentral:rRNA from 1 species